UCAACUUGGGGUUCACUGACUGCAGUCCCUGUUUCUACCCGUGCAGCGUCCAGCAAGCUGUCAGGAGGGGCAGCCUGUUACAGGAGGAGCUCGAGGACUAUGGGUUACCAUGGUUGCUCCAGAGGAGCAGAGGACCGUGGUUGUGGCGCGCAGAGCGAGCAGCUGAAUAUUAAGAUCAUCAUGGACAUAGAGUCUCUGGAAAAGAAGAUUGAGGAAUUAUCUGAAACCAAGGAAAAACAUCAAGAACAGGAUCCACGUGCAUGGCGAUGACACAGCCUCUGAGGAGGAGAAUUCUCUAUACCACAAGGUCACUCUCACCCAGAAUGCAGAUGUGAGGACAGGAGCUGGAGGGAAAGUCCUACAUAAACCAGCUGCACCCCCUGCCAGUGUAGACAUGGCUCACUUGUAGGAGGGAGGGCUAGAGCUACAAUGUAUUUCCUGUGUAGACAGAGCUUACUCUUGUCAAAUAUCUGAACUUGCUGAAAACCACCCAUGACAUUUGGUAGAUAUUUCUUGAUAGUUUUAUGGGAUUCAAGCUUAAAUUCUCAUAGCGUGGGUGGGGAAUCAUUUCUCAGCCAGACCCAAAAGUCACAGCAAGUCUGGAAGUAUAUUCUGUAAACUGGGGCUUUGGAAAUCCUCAGACUGGUGAUGGUCCGGUGUUGUGUCUGAGUCACUGCAGGACCCCCAGGAGCGCUCUAAAAACCUCUAAAACAAAUGCAGAGAAACAAGAGUCUUUAUUAAAUCCAGUCAGACUCGGAUUGCAAACCUUCCCACUGCACAGGACAGGAGUGCGACCCAGCGCCUAGAAGUCUUGGCGUUUUUUUUAAACAGCAUAGACAGGGAUUCUUUGAAUUUUAGGGUGACAAGGAUUUUACCAGGUGACAAGAGAAAUCAUCUUUCAAACACAAUAUCAUUUGUUCAGGCAGCAAGCCAAAAUCAAGAAGCUGGGAAGAGGAACUCUUCUAACCUAGGAAGUAACUUUAUGGUGCUAUCAGGAACUACUGUGUUUUUACAACUUGCCACCACUGCCUGUGACCCCUGAUUACUCUUCUUUCAUGGUCCAAAUCUGCAGGACCCUUAUCUCUCCAAGGAUGUAUAGUCUUCACUUUUUUCCCAAGGACAGGGGCCAGCUGUUCUGGUGCUCCUGGGGGGCAGUUGUUAAGGAGUGCCUCUAAGUAAAUAGGAUUUGAUAUUGGGUGCCUGACUGGUCCUCUCUGAAUGGCCAGGGAGGAGAGGGAAGCAUUUGCUGCAGGGAGGAGCAGGGCAGAGGGGAACUUCUGUGGGAGAGCGCAGAGUGCAGGCUGUCUGUGCACUUCAUUGGCAGGGGCUGUCAUGCAUUAGCUACACUUUGAUGUUACUCAUGCAGACACUGUCAUACCAGCUGAGCCCCGGCCCCGCCCUGGCCCCGCCCCGGCCCCUCCAGUGUUUUCUGUAACUCUCAAAGUAAAUGCAUUUUCCUGAAGUGAAGAUACCCCGACAACAUGAAAUGUUUGUA